rnacentral:lncRNA from 1 species
CUCAGGCCUCUAGACUCUAGACUGAGCUGCCUUGGUCACUCGGGGGCAGUUGGCAGAGUAUUCGUGGUCAGGGAGGUGACCCGUGGUCAGCAGGAUCAGGCCACCCAGGGACAAAGGGUGCUUCUGCGCCAGGCCCUGGAGAAGGACAGAGCGGUGGGGACUCGGGGUCGGCCGCAGAUAGGGGAGUCACCACCUGCCGGCAAUCAGCCAUGACUGCCUUUGCACUGUCCAUGCUCUCAGCCCACCACCUCGUCCCCCUGCCAUUGCAGUGGCUAACACUGGAGACGAAGACCAAGACACCACAGCCUUUCUCCAGUACCUCUCAAAUCAGCACAGACAAGGACAAAGGCCUCAAUCCACAACUGCUGAAGAUGGACCCUGGCCACAUGGGAUGGUCAGACACGCCUGCCCAGCUAUCUGCAGGCGAAGAGGCUCAGAAGAGGUUUGGGGGCCUGAAGGACAUCUUGCUUCCAUGUCCAUAUGAGCAGGCUAUUUGUGCUCCAUGAGUCAAUUUUGCCAUAUAAAAUACUUAAUUUCAGCCAUUCCAGGGUGCUAUAGGAUGCACAACUUCCCAUCAACCCACCUGAACUCCAGCCAUGCCAUUUUAAUACCAGGAAUGAGGUCACCUGCUUUCCUG